GGGCACCACCAGGGGGUGCAGCUGCGGCUUAUUUGACUCAACACGGGAAAUCUCACCACGCCCGGACACCGGAAGGAUUCACAGAUUAACAGCUCUUUCUUGAUUCGGUGGGUGGUGGUGCAUGGCCGUUCUUAGUUGGUGGAGCGAUUUGUCUGGUUAAUUCCGGUAACGAACGAGACUCUAGCCUGCUAAAUAGGCGUCGUCAUUUAGGUGUGCUCGACUUCGGUCGUGAAACUCACUGGCGACCUAUUAAAAUUCUUCUUAAAGGGACCGGCGGCUUCGAACCGCACGAGAUUGAGCAAUAACAGGUCUGUGAUGCCCUUAGAUGUCCUGGGCCGCACGCGCCCUACACUGAAGGAAUCA
rnacentral:rRNA from 1 species